rnacentral:tRNA from 1 species
GCCUCUGUAGCUCAGUGGAUAGAGCAGUGGCUUCCUAAGCCAUGUGUCGCAGGUUCGAGUCCUGCCAGGGGUA